GGGCAUUCCGAGUCUUUUCGGUGACUGGUAUCAUUUAAUUUUGCUCCCAACGGGCUUUUCGUUCAGUAGUUCUUAGGAAUUGACCUAAAACCAUAAUAAAAUUGUCAAUAUAUAAUUUAAAUCGUAAAAAGUUGCCUACCAGAUCGUGAAAUUUGAGUUCAAAUACAUUUUUACCUGACCAGAUUAUUAGAUGGCCUACAAAAACAAACUGAGAAAAAAAUGUAAUGCGCUGAAAAAAUGAGCGCGAACUAGACUGAGGCUCCUCACUAGAUUGUUCCUGCACUGAGCAAUUACCAUCUUCUGUGAAUAUUUGUAUAAUUUGUCAGCAGAUAAUCGAUGUCUGGAUUCUGGGGUUCAAAAAGCAAUAACAGUAGGCUAUGCAAAUCAGGAAGCCAAAUUAACGUCUCUUUCACAGCUGCAAUUCGGUUCCCGACGGUCACCAAAAAGAGCAGUUCGUUCGCGAAUGACCGACCACUACAACAAAGCAAGAUGGCUGAAGUUGUGGAACUCCAGAAACUAAAGCUUGCUGAACUGAAGCAUGAGUGUGAAACCAGAGGUCUAAGAUGUGAAGGGCAACAAAGUUGAACUGAUCACACGACUACAGGCUUAUCUGGAGGAACAUGUUUGAAAUGAGGUGUGUUCCGCGUCACAACAGACACCCAUCUUCAAAUCCAGACUGCGUUUCUAUCAAAGUGGUCCACCUUCCCUGUGGCUGACAUGGUUGCUGUAUGGACAGUGGAGAGGACAUGGACGUCUCGUUUGUUAUGGCACUUUACUGCCAGCUGUUAACAUUUCUUAUUUUGUAUAAUGGGUCAUUUAGGAUGGUAGUACCGUUGAUGAAAUGCAGUCAUAGCAGCAGAACUAGAAAGCAGUCUUUACUGUCACCAGGAAUGCAUACAUUUCACUAAUUGUGGUUGUCCCCCACUCCUAGCUCUCUCUUAUCCUGUAGCUCCAAGGCAUAGCGAUUGGUCUCUACUAUGUCUCCCACCAGCUCCUCUGUCAGAAACAACUUGAAGCACUCUGCCUCAGUUGGAAAUGGCAAGGGGCGUUGCACUCCAGACGGGGACUCGUCAAAGCAAACAGCAGGGCCAGGAGGGGUGGAAUGACUGGUGGCCUUCCAGCUACCACAGAACUCCUGUACUUCAUCCACUGUUGGUAUACCUCCAUCACCACCAGCAUCUUCAAAGGCACCUGGGACUUCGUCAGUGGACAAGGGAAAUGCAGAUUCAGGGUU